rnacentral:tRNA from 1 species
GCGAUAGUAGCUCAGUUGGUAGAGCGUUGGCUUCCCAAGCCGAAGGUCGCGGGAUCGUGCCCCGUCUAUCGCU